rnacentral:rRNA from 1 species
GAUGAACGCUGGCGGCGUGCCUAAUACAUGCAAGUCGAGCGAACAGAUGAGGAGCUUGCUCCUCUGACGUUAGCGGCGGACGGGUGAGUAACACGUGGAUAACCUACCUAUAAGACUGGGAUAACUUCGGGAAACCGGAGCUAAUACCGGAUAAUAUAUUGAACCGCAUGGUUCAAUAGUGAAAGACGGUUUUGCUGUCACUUAUAGAUGGAUCCGCGCCGCAUUAGCUAGUUGGUAAGGUAACGGCUUACCAAGGCAACGAUGCGUAGCCGACCUGAGAGGGUGAUCGGCCACACUGGAACUGAGACACGGUCCAGACUCCUACGGGAGGCAGCAGUAGGGAAUCUUCCGCGAUGGGCGAAAGCUUGACGGAGCAACGCCGCGUGAGUGAUGAAGGUCUUCGGAUCGUAAAACUCUGUUAUUAGGGAAGAACAAAUGUGUAAGUAACUAUGCACGUCUUGACGGUACCUAAUCAGAAAGCCACGGCUAACUACGUG